rnacentral:rRNA from 1 species
AGAACUUAGCAGAGAUGCUUUGGUGCCUUCGGGAACUCUGAGACAGGUGCUGCAUGGCUGUCGUCAGCUCGUGUUGUGAAAUGUUGGGUUAAGUCCCGCAACGAGCGCAACCCUUAUCCUUUGUUGCCAGCGGUCCGGCCGGGAACUCAAAGGAGACUGCCAGUGAUAAACUGGAGGAAGGUGGGGAUGACGUCAAGUCAUCAUGGCCCUUACGAGUAGGGCUACACACGUGCUACAAUGGCGCAUACAAAGAGAAGCGACCUCGCGAGAGCAAGCGGACCUCAUAAAGUGCGUCGUAGUCCGGAUUGGAGUCUGCAACUUGACUCCAUGAAGUCGGAAUCGCUAGUAAUCGUAGAUCAGAAUGCUACGGUGAAUACGUUCCCGGGCCUUGUACACACCGCCCGUCACACCAUGGGAGUGGGUUGCAAAAGAAGUAGGUAGCUUAACCUUCGGGAGGGCGCUUACCACUUUGUGAUUCAUGACUGGGGUGAAGUCGUAACAAGGUAAGCGUAGCGAG